GAGGUGAUCACAUGAACUGAGUGUAAGAUUGAUUACUGUAAGGCUGGUUGAUCAGAAGAACUCUAAUGUCUCCUGAAUCCUGAUUGGAAAGCACAUGUUUUUCACGGUGCUCAAUCGAUGUUGUGAUGAGACAAAAAGUAAAUAAUGAAGUUCUGAAGGCAUCAGUUGGAGCGUGGUUUUUCUAGUCACGGAGAAAAAAUUCGGGAGCCGUUAUAACCAGUCCUCACUGCUGUGUAACAUCAAGCCUGCUGUGCUUCUACCACCGGAGCUUCGGCUGAGGAAAAGAGGAAGACGCGGGGUUUUCGCAGCAGAAUUAGAAGACGACCAUUUAAACCUCCUCUUCCCUCAUUCUGUCAAACGUACGCUCACUUCGCAAUAAAAAAUGGAUUUGCUACAUGCCAGAUGUCGACUGGAAAGGGCCUUCAGGGACAUUUGUAUCAUCGCCCGACCAGUCUCAGAUGCUGAGUAAAGAGCUGAGUAAUGAGAUGCUUAGAGUAAAGUUACACAUGAAAGAAAGAUAGCGAUACAUGUAGAAAACAAGGGAGAGAAACAGACGAGUGAGACGGAGAAAGGGAGAGAAACAGAUGACGGAGAAAGGGAGAGAAACGGAGAGAAACAGACGAGUGAGACGGAGAAAGGGAGAAUAAAGAACAAAUGGCGCUCUCCAAAAGAAGAAAAGUGGACAGCGAAAAUAGAGCAUUUAAUCCAGAAUGGACAGACUAAUUUCUGUUCAUACUUCCCAUUGGGAGCACCUAACCAGUGUGUCUCAGAAACCGUGGCACUUAUUAAAAGUGGCAAUGUGAAACGCCAUUAUGAGACAAAACAUAAAGGUUUUGAACAAACAUAUCCACUCAAAUCUGAUGACAGCGUCCCUGAGACAGCUUUCCCAGGUCUGAGGAAAGUAGCCCUAUACAUCCUGAUCAUGUUUGGCUCUACAUACAACUGCGAGGCAGCUUUCUUUACAAUGAACAUAAUCCAAACUAAA